UGAUUCCUACGGGGCGCAGCAGUGGGGAAUAUUGCACAAUGGGGGAAACCCUGAUGCAGCGAUGCCGCGUGGAGGAAGAAGGUUUUCGGAUUGUAAACUCCUUUUAUCAGGGACGAUAAUGACGGUACCUGAAGAAAAAGCUCCGGCUAACUACGUGCCAGCAGCCGCGGUAAUACGUAGGGAGCGAGCGUUGUCCGGAAUUACUGGGUGUAAAGGGAGCGUAGACGGCUGUGCAAGUCUGGAGUGAAAGGCGGGGGCCCAACCCCCGGACUGCUCUGGAAACUGUAUGGCUGGAGUGCAGGAGG
rnacentral:rRNA from 1 species